UACGUAGGGUGCGAGCGUUAAUCGGAAUUACUGGGCGUAAAGCGUGCGCAGGCGGUUCGUUGUGUCGGCGGUGAAAGCCCCGGGCUUAACCUGGGAAUGGCCGUUGAAACUGGCGAACUGGAGUGUGGCAGAGAGGGUGGAAUUCCGCGUGUAGCAGUGAAAUGCGUAGAGAUGCGGAGGAACACCGAUGGCGAAGGCAGCCCCCUGGGCUAACACUGACGCUCAGGCACGAAAGCGUGGGAGCAAACAGG
rnacentral:rRNA from 1 species